GUGGCAUUAGCUCAGAUGGAUAGAGCAACGGCCUUCUAAGCCGUAGGUCGCAGGUUCGAAUCCUGUAUGCCGCGCCA
rnacentral:tRNA from 1 species